rnacentral:rRNA from 1 species
GAUGAACGCUGGCGGCGUGCCUAAUACAUGCAAGUCGAGCGAACAGACGAGGAUCUUGCUCCUCUGACGUUAGCGGCGGACGGGUGAGUAACACGUGGAUAACCUACCUAUAAGACUUGGAUAACUUCGGCAAACCGGAGCUAAUACCGGAUAAUAUAUUUAACCGCAUGGUUCUAUAGUGAAAGACGGUUUUGCUGUCACUUAUAGAUGUAUCCGCGCCGCAUUAGCUAGUUGGUAAGGUAACGGCUUACCAAGGCAACGAUGCGUAGCCGACCUGAGAGGGUGAUGGGCCACACUGGAACUGAGACACGGUCCAGACUCCGACGGGAGGCAGCAGUAGGGAAUCUACGGCAAUGGGCGAAAGCUUGACGGAGCAACGGCGCGUGAGUGAUGAAGGUCUUCGGAUCGUAAAACUCUGUUAUUGGGGAAGAACAAAUGUGUAAGUAACUAUGCACGUCUUGACGGUACCUAAUCAGAAAGCCACGGCUAACUACGUG